UUAAUAAAAAUUCUUAAAGAAUUAAACAAAUGUCAGUAUUCAGUUGCUUCUGGAGAAAAAAAAGAAUUAAAGCCUGCCACCAAAGUAAGUGUAGAUGACAUAAUCAGAACUACUGCUGAAGAGUAAAAUGUUUCAAUGAGUCAGACAAAUAAAAGAACAAGAUCACUUUUUUUCUUUUUUCUUUUUUUCUUUUCUUUUUUUUUUUUUGAAACUGAGUCAUUUUCUUUUUCCUUUUUCUUUUUUUGA
rnacentral:lncRNA from 1 species